rnacentral:rRNA from 1 species
AUUGAACGCUGGCGGCAGGCUUAACACGUGCAAGUCGAGCGGAGAUGAGAUGCUCGCACCUUAUCUUAGCGGCGGACGGGUGAGUAAUGUCUAGGAAUCUGUCUAUUAGUGGGGGACAACAUUCCGAUAGGAAUGCUAAUACCGCAUAAGCCUUACGGGGGAAAGCAGGGGAACGUCGGACCCUGCGCUACUAGAUGUGCCUAAGUCGGAUUAUAUAGUUGGUGGAGUAAAGGCCUACCAAGGCUACGAUCUGUAGCGGGUCUGAGAGGAUGAUCCGCCACACUGGGACUGAGACACGGCCCAGACUCCUACGGGAGGCAGCAGUGGGGAAUAUUGGACAAUGGGCGGAAGCCUGAUCCAGCCAUGCCGCGUGUGUGAAGAAGGCCUUUUGGUUGUAAAGCACUUUAAGCGAGGAGGAGGCUACCUGGAUUAAUACUCUAGGAUAGUGGACGUUACUUGCAGAAUAAGCACCGGCUAACUCUGUGCCAGCAGCCGCGGUAAGAC